GCCUGCCUAGCUCAAUCGGAUAGAGCGUCAGACUUUUAAGGAGUCUCCCAGGUGGGUUACCUGUUCAAUCUGAAGGCUGCGAGUUCGACCCUCGCGGUGGGCU